AGGUUAAGUUAGAAAGGGCGCACGGUGGAUGCCUAGGCACUAGGAGCCGAAGAAGGACGGGUCUAACACCGAUAUGCAAUGGGGUGCAGUACGUAAGCGUU
rnacentral:rRNA from 1 species